rnacentral:rRNA from 1 species
GAUCCUGGCUCGGAAGUCGUACAAGGGGUCCGCAUAAGUUUUGGCGAACGGGUGAGUAACACGUGAGCAAUCUGCCCUUGACUCUGGGAUAAGCGUUGGAAACGACGUCUAAUACCGGAUACGACCCUCGGAGGCAUCUCCUGGGGGUGGAAAGAAUUUUGGUCAAGGAUGAGCUCGCGGCCUAUCAGCUAGUUGGUGAGGUAAUGGCUCACCAAGGCGACGACGGGUAGCCGGCCUGAGAGGGUGACCGGCCACACUGGGACUGAGACACGGCCCAGACUCCUACGGGAGGCAGCAGUGGGGAAUAUUGCACAAUGGGCGAAAGCCUGAUGCAGCAACGCCGCGUGAGGGAUGACGGCCUUCGGGUUGUAAACCUCUUUUAGUAGGGAAGAAGCGAAAGUGACGGUACCUGCAGAAAAAGCACCGGCUAACUACGUGCCAGCAGCCGCGGUAAUACGUAGGGUGCAAGCGUUGUCCGGAAUUAUUGGGCGUAAAGAGCUCGUAGGCGGUUUGUCGCGUCUGCUGUGAAAUCUGGGGGCUCAACCCCCAGCCUGCAGUGGGUACGGGCAGACUAGAGUGCGGUAGGGGAGAUUGGAAUUCCUGGUGUAGCGGUGGAAUGCGCAGAUAUCAGGAGGAACACCGAUGGCGAAGGCAGAUCUCUGGGCCGUAACUGACGCUGAGGAGCGAAAGCAUGGGGAGCGAACAGGAUUAGAUACCCUGGUAGUCCAUGCCGUAAACGUUGGGAACUAGAUGUGGGGACCAUUCCACGGUCUCCGUGUCGCAGCUAACGCAUUAAGUUCCCCGCCUGGGGAGUACGGCCGCAAGGCUAAAACUCAAAGGAAUUGACGGGGGCCCGCACAAGCGGCGGAGCAUGCGGAUUAAUUCGAUGCAACGCGAAGAACCUUACCAAGACUUGACAUAUACGAGAACGGGCCAGAAAUGGUCAACUCUUUGGACACUCGUAAACAGGUGGUGCAUGGUUGUCGUCAGCUCGUGUCGUGAGAUGUUGGGUUAAGUCCCGCAACGAGCGCAACCCUCGUCCUAUGUUGCCAGCACGUAAUGGUGGGAACUCAUGGGAUACUGCCGGGGUCAACUCGGAGGAAGGUGGGGAUGACGUCAAAUCAUCAUGCCCCUUAUGUCUUGGGCUUCACGCAUGCUACAAUGGCCGGUACAAAGGGCUGCGAUACCGUAAGGUGGAGCGAAUCCCAAAAAGCCGGUCUCAGUUCGGAUUGAGGUCUGCAACUCGACCUCAUGAAGUCGGAGUCGCUAGUAAUCGCAGAUCAGCAACGCUGCGGUGAAUACGUUCCCGUGCGUUGUACACCCCG